AUUGAACGCUGGCGGCAGGCCUAACACAUGCAAGUCGAACGGUAACAGGAAACAGCUUGCUGUCUCGCUGACGAGUGGCGGACGGGUGAGUAAUGUCUGGGAAACUGCCUGAUGGAGGGGGAUAACUACUGGAAACGGUAGCUAAUACCGCAUAACGUCGCAAGACCAAAGAGGGGGACCUUCGGGCCUCUUGCCAUCGGAUGUGCCCAGAUGGGAUUAGCUAGUAGGUGGGGUAACGGCUCACAUAGGCGACGAUCCCUAGCUGGUCUGAGAGGAUGACCAGCCACACUGGAACUGAGACACGGUCCAGACUCCUACGGGAGGCAGCAGUGGGGAAUAUUGCACAAUGGGCGCAAGCCUGAUGCAGCCAUGCCGCGUGUAUGAAGAAGGCCUUCGGGUUGUAAAGUACUUUCAGCGGGGAGGAAGGGAGUAAAGUCAAUACCUUUGCUCAUUGACGUUACCCGCAGAAGAAGCACCGGCUAACUCCGUGCCAGCCGCCGCAGUAA
rnacentral:rRNA from 1 species